CCUACGGGUGGCAGCAGUGGGGAAUAUUGCACAAUGGGGGAAACCCUGAUGCAGCGACGCCGCGUGAGUGAAGAAGUAUUUCGGUAUGUAAAGCUCUAUCAGCAGGGAAGAAAAUGACGGUACCUGACUAAGAAGCCCCGGCUAACUACGUGCCAGCAGCCGCGGUAAUACGUAGGGGGCAAGCGUUAUCCGGAUUUACUGGGUGUAAAGGGAGCGUAGACGGCGCGUCAAGUCCGGAGUGAAAGCCCAGGGCUUAACCAUGGUAUGGCUGUGGAAACUGGGGAGCUUGAGUGCGGGAGAGGCAGGCGGAAGUCCUGGUGUAGCGGUGAAAUGCGUAGAGAUUAGGAGGAACACCGGUGGCGAAGGCGGCCUGCUGGACCGUAACUGACGUUGAGGCGCGAAAGCGUGGGGAGCAAACAGGAUUAGAUACCCCUGUAGUC
rnacentral:rRNA from 1 species